rnacentral:rRNA from 1 species
UGCUAAUACCCGAUGAGCCGAGAGGUAAAAAGGUGAAUUCCGCCUGGAGAGGAGCUCGCGUCCGAUUAGCUAGUUGGUGAGGUAAGAGCUUACCAAGGCGACGAUCGGUAGCUGGUCUGAGAGGAUGAGCAGCCACACUGGGACUGAGACACGGCCCAGACUCCUACGGGAGGCAGCAGUGGGGAAUUUUCCGCAAUGGGCGAAAGCCUGACGGAGCAACGCCGCGUGGGGGAAGAAGGCCUUUGGGUUGUAAACUCCUUUUCUCAGGGAAGAAGCACUGACGGUACCUGAGGAAUCAGCCUCGGCUAACUCCGUGCCAGCAGCCGCGGUAAUACGGAGGAGGCAAGCGUUAUCCGGAAUUAUUGGGCGUAAAGCGUUCGUAGGUGGCGGUUCAAGUCGGCUGUCAAAGACCGGGGCUCAACUGUGGACCGGCAGUGGAAACUGGUGAGCUGGAGGUCGGUAGGGGCAGAGGGAAUUCCCAGUGUAGCGGUGAAAUGCGUAGAUGUUGGGACGCCCCCCGGUAACGAAGGCGCUCUACU